CACGUAGGGGGCGAGCGUUGUCCGGAUUUAUUGGGCGUAAAGAGCGUGUAGGCGGCCAAGCAGGUCCGCUGUGAAAACUCGAGGCUCAACCUCGAGACGUCGGUGGAAACCGUUUGGCUAGAGUCCGGAAGAGGAGAGUGGAAUUCCCGGUGUAGCGGUGAAAUGCGCAGAUAUCGGGAAGAACACCCGUGGCGAAGGCGGCUCUCUGGGACGGUACUGACGCUGAGACGCGAAAGCGUGGGGAGCGAACAGG
rnacentral:rRNA from 1 species